UGGGGCCAUAAUCUAAUAGGAUUGGUGGCCUUAUAAGAAGAAAAAGAGAGGGAACUCUCUCUCUGUCUCUCUGCCUCUCCCUCCCUCCCUCCAUGUACACAGACUGAGGAGAGGCCAUGUGAGGACACAGUGAGACAGUGACCAUUUGCAAGACAGGAAGAGAGCUGUCACCAGAACCUGAACCCUGCAGGAACCUUGAUCUUGGACUUUCCAGCCUCCCGAACUAUGAGUUGGCCUAAAAGAAAGGACAGUCCAGUAGCAACAAGCACACCCAGUACGAAGAUCUUGGUUUGUAAUACCAUUCUCUGCUAAAAGGAGUCGGAUUCCUCGGAGAAAGGACUGAUCGUAGGACUGCAGCAAGAAAUACCCAAGAUGAGCCUGGAGCAUCUUGUGGUGCCAGGAAGUAAGGAAGUGCUCAAAGGACGAUGGUCAGGAAGACCAAGAUACCUGGAACGUCAACUAGAAAAAGAAUUAAAGAGAGAAUUUCUACCUUUCCUUUCCAGCUCCAACUUCAGAGAAGAGCUCCAUAUAGAUGUCCUCAGCCAGAAGGGACAAGAACAGAUGAAUGACUUUCUUCACGCUUCUUGUUGGGUGAAUCAGUCAUGCUCCAGGGUCAUGUUAAGUUUGCCACUUUUGUAUAAAAUCACUUAAUAAAUUGAUUGGCA
rnacentral:lncRNA from 1 species